GAGGGCCACGUUGAUAAAAAAAAUUAAUAAGGAAUUUAACAAACUUAGAAAAACUUUUCCGAUUCUAUCAUACUGAGUUUCUACGAGUGACUUCGGAGGGCCAAGCUUACUAACACUUGAACAGCACUAAAUUUUGUGUAUGUAUAAUUAAUUUCUAACGUUACACAACAAUCGUACAGGUUUGUGGUACUUGGAAGUUAUAAUGGCUGACUUGUUUAGAUCCUUAUAUAAGCGCAAACGAAAUAAACCACCUGGAACUUUGGGUAAAAUAAUGAACAAUUAAAUCGCCAUAGUACGCUCUAUAAUGUUAGGUAAAAAUAAAAAAAAGUCAGUAAAAGAGAGUUGUGUUUAUUAUGACAUCGUAAUAGAUUACAUAUUCCUUAGAUUACAUAACCGUAUUAUGCGCCACUAAUUCAAAGUGACAAACGUCAAUGACCCGCUAUUUCGGCCGCAAUAUUUGGUCUCUCGCGAUCGACAGCUUUUCUUUAAUAACAACGCAGGCAUCGAAGCAAGAACACCAACGGCUAACGGAGACGCCCUUCGCCUGACAACCUGCUGUUCCGAAACUUCUUGUCCUUGCUUUUCUCCUAAAAACAAAAAGCUGUGAAAAAUAAUGGUCGCCGCAUACGAUACCGAUGACCGACCUUUGGCUGUUGACCUGUAUACGAAAGCUGCAGCAAAAAGAAGAUUGGGAUACGUUUGGAAAAAUAACUAGAUAGGUAGAUUCGACACACUCAGCCCACGUACUUCCGGUACUGGGAAACGACGCAUUAUCGUGAAUAGGACUUCAGCGAAAUAUCGAGCAACAGUAAGCGUUUGUGCCUGCGUGUCUCUCUAUGGUCUGAUUCCGUGAAACAAAGAACGGACGAAUCAUUGGUUGACGCACUGACGACAGUAAUGACUCAAUAUAUCCAUAGCAAAAUCGUGAGUUAAAAACACAAACAAUAAUAAUUUUCAUUAUUACAGGCAAUGAUCUAGGCCAGUAUUUAUGAAAGUGUGCAUAUAUAUAAAUGUAUAUAUGUUGAUCCGAACAAUCCUGUAGGGUGUAAUAUAAACCUUGAUUAUUUUAGGACUCUGGACGUGGCUUAAUAAGAAGACUUUGUACUGAAAACCUUAGGGCUCAAAACAUUAAUUUUCAUAUUUAAAAAUAAAGGGAAAUAUUUUUUUAAUGGCGUAGCAUGCCUUUUACUGGAUAGACGCACCAGGCGUUUUGCUCAUAGCGUGUGGGGUAUCAAUAAGCUCUGUAGACACUUCAUCGUGCAAGCAACAUACCUAUAAACAAACAAAUUCCUUUAUGUCAAUGUAUUUAUUAACAACCCCAGGCCGAAUGGUUACACGCAUUUAAUCAUACCACUGUAGCCUGCUACACACAUGGCAUCGCAACACAUGAAUGUAUAAUGUCAGCGCAUAUCGUAUGCGCAGAGUGAUCGUGUGAAUAUUUUUUACGCUUUACAUCAUCCGUAUGACCAUAGUGACAGCAGCCAUACUCUAUGCUGAAGCGUUUGUGUCACCACAUUCAAUAUAUGUACUAUAUGUAUGCAAUUUAACCCGCUAUAUGAAUAAACUUAUUUGUUUUGCUGCAA